rnacentral:rRNA from 1 species
UACGAAGGGGGCUAGCGUUGUUCGGAUUUACUGGGCGUAAAGCGCACGUAGGCGGGUUGUUAAGUCAGGGGUGAAAUCCUGGAGCUCAACUCCAGAACUGCCUUUGAUACUGGCAACCUAGAGGCUGGAAGAGGUUAGUGGAAUUCCCAGUGUAGAGGUGAAAUUCGUAGAUAUUGGGAAGAACACCAGUGGCGAAGGCGGCUAACUGGUCCAGAUCUGACGCUGAGGUGCGAAAGCGUGGGGAGCAAGCAGG